rnacentral:rRNA from 1 species
GAUGAACGCUGGCGGCUUGCCUAAUACACGCAAGUCGGGCGAACUGACGAGAAGCUGUCUCUUCUGAUGUUAGCGGCGGACGGGUGAGUAACAUGUGGAUAACCUACCUAUAAGACUGGGAUAACUGCGGGAAACCGGAGCUAAUACCGGAGAAUUGUUUGAACCGCAUUGUUCAAAAGUUAAUGACGGUCUUGCUGUCACUUAUAGAAUGAACCGCGUUGCAUUAGCUAGUUGGUAAGGUAACGGCUUACCAAGGCAACGAUGCAUAGCCGACCUGAGAGGGGGAUCGGCCACACUGGAAAUGAGACACGGUCCAGACGCCUACGGGAGGCAGCCGUAGGGAAUCUUCCGCAAUGGGCGAAAGCCUGACGGAGCAACGCCGCGUGAGUGAUGAAGGUCUUCGGAUCGUAAAACUCUGUUAUUAGGGAAGACCAUAUGUGUAAGUAACUGUGCACAUCUUGACGGUACCUAAUCAGAAAGCCACGGCUAACUACGUG